GAUGGCAAGCACCAUCAUGGAGGACGAAUUUCCAACAGCAAGAAAUACAGGGAGAGUGGUUGCGCAAGGAGACAGAGCAGGGACAAGUAUAAGCCCUGCCACAGCCAUCUUCUCCAUUGGUUGAUUGUGUGAAUGGCUAUGACCACCCUUUCCAAAGAGAUGUAAGAUGACAUAGCUACCACCAAGAACUACAAGCAGUAAGGAAGCCAGUUUGUGCACUGUUUCCUCCCCAGCAAUUGUGUUUGAUAUCGUUAUUGCCGUUAUGCCAAGAAGUGAGGUGGAUAACACGUGCAAUACUGCUCCAAAUGCAGUGACGAAAAGGGUUCUUGAAAGAGUCCAUUUUUGAGCACGACCCACAAUGGAAAAUGGCAACCAAUGAGUUGGGAUGAAGGAAUGAAGCAGUGAUACGGUAGCAAUACCUCCGAUCUUCGACAGAUCUUCUGCAGUAAACCCAUUUUCCAUCCUUAAAUUUUGCUGAUUUAUUCAGAAAAACAUCAACUUUUU
rnacentral:misc_RNA from 1 species